rnacentral:rRNA from 1 species
GUGGGGAAUCUUCCGCAAUGGACGAAAGUCUGACGGAGCGACGCCGCGUGAGUGAAGAAGGCCUUCGGGUCGUAAAGCUCUGUCAUCAGGGACGAACGGCCGGUGGAGUGGAAAGCCACCGGAUUGACGGUACCUGAGAAGGAAGCCACGGCUAACUACGUGCCAGCAGCCGCGGUAAUACGUAGGUGGCAAGCGUUGUCCGGAAUUAUUGGGCGUAAAGCGCGCGCAGGUGGGAUCUUAAGUCCAUUUUUAAAGUUCGGAGCUCAACUCCGUGAUGGGAUGGAAACUGGGAUUGUGGAGUACCAGAGAGGAAAGCGGAAUUCCCCGUGUAGCGGUGAAAUGCGUAGAUAUGGGGAGGAACACCAGUGGCGAAGGCGGCUUUCUGGACGGUGUCUGACACUGAGGCGCGAAAGCCAGGGGAGCGAACGGGAUUAGAAACCCCUGUAGUCC